rnacentral:rRNA from 1 species
UGAGGAAUCUGUCCAUCGGCGGGGGAUAGCCGGCCCAACGGCCGGGUAAUACCGCGUACGUCGGCGGGAGCGCAUGCUCCUGCCGGGAAAGCAGCAAUGCACCGAUGGAGGAUCUCGCGGCCUAUCAGCUUGUUGGUGAGGUAACGGCUCACCAAGGCUUCGACGGGUAGCCGGCCUGAGAGGGCGACCGGCCACACGUGGGACUGAGACACGGCCCAGACUCCGUACGGGAGCAG